UACGUAGGGUGCAAGCGUUGUCCGGAAUUAUUGGGCGUAAAGAGCUCGUAGGCGGCUUGUCACGUCGACUGUGAAAACCCGGGGCUCAACUCCGGGCCUGCAGUCGAUACGGGCUGGCUUGAGUGCGGUAGGGGAGACUGGAAUUCCUGGUGUAGCGGUGAAAUGCGCAGAUAUCAGGAGGAACACCGGUGGCGAAGGCGGGUCUCUGGGCCGUAACUGACGCUGAGACGCGAAAGCGUGGGGAGCGAACAGG
rnacentral:rRNA from 1 species